rnacentral:rRNA from 1 species
AGCUCCGCGAGCGUAUAUUAAAAUUGUUGCAGUUAAAAAGCUCGUAGUUGGACUUUUGGUCUAGAACUCUCCCAGCUCGGAGAAAUUAGCAGGAACGAACUUCGGUUGGUAACUCGUUUCAGGAAAGCAGGAUGCGGGGUCGAUCAUUUCCUUAUCGCAUUGAUGUUCUUGUUGGGCAACCUUCAGGGACACCGCGAAGAGGCAUUACUUUGAAGAAAGGAGAGUGUUUAAAGCAGACGUGUGUCGUGAAUUUAAUAGCAUGGAAUGGUAACAUAGGAUCCUCAGAUAAUUUGGUUAGUUUUGUAUGUGAGGGUAAUGAUUGAUAGGGGUAAUUGGGGGUGCUAGUACUCAAUGGCCAGAGGUGAAAUUCUGUGACCCGAUGAAGACUGACUAUUGCGAAAGCAUUCACCAAGGAUAUUU